rnacentral:rRNA from 1 species
AUGUCAGGCAACAACAGGGUUGGGAAGAUGCAGAAUACCAAGCGCAAGCGAAGAAGCAACGACAUAGGAUGCCUUAAUGAAAACAAAAGUGCUAGCAAAACAGUACUUACGCAACGACCCAUCCAUCCAGAUAUUACUACCUUUGAAGAUGGAUUUGGUAACUUGCUUAAAUCCUCGGAAAGUUCCUCUAGUGAACUCACCAAACAGAUUGAGUCGAAACUGUCAGAGAGUGUUGUCUCCCUUGCUUCAUUCGUUGGGAGUACAGUGCUAUUUGAAUGCACGGGAAUAUUUAUUGAGAAUUUAUGUACUGAUGCCACAAGUAUUCUGACUUCAGCUAAUAUAGUUGGGUCUUCAGAUUCUGAGAUCACUGAUAACUUGACGAUUAAAGUGCGUCUUCCCAGUAAUCAAGUUGUCAUUGGCUGGUUACACCAUUGUGAUUUCAAGUAUAAUCUUGCUGUUGUGAACAUCAGAUGCGCACGUGGUUUUCAGGAAGCACAUCUCAGUCGUAGCCAUGCCAUGCAAUUUGAGCCGAAUAGUAAGUUAGUAGCUGUGGGGUGUUGUUUCGACUCAGGCAUGUUAAAGUCCACAAAUGCGACAGUAAUUGGCAGUGCAAGUGAUGGAGUCUGUGAGCUUAUGCUCUCCACAUAUGAAAUGAACAUGGCUUGGAUUGGGUGCCCCCUUAUUGAUUUUGAUGGGAACUUUGUUGGAAUGAACCUCCAAAGUGGCGAAAGGAUUAUGUUCACACCAGUGAACAAAAUUCUUGAAUGCCUGGGGUACCUUGCGACAGUUAGGGUUGAAAGUAAUCAAGUGGUUGCUGGUAUAAAAGAAGCAAUCACAACCAAGGCAAAUAAUGCUGGCAUGCCGAAAGAUGCUAUGCAUGAGAUUAACUCUUUUGAAGAGGAAUUCGAGGACAAUAUCUGGAGCACACUCAGUGAAGAUGUUGCAAGCACUAUGGCUGGAUGUGUUGUCUCACUUGCUUCAUUCAAUGGAAAGUCAAAGUGUUUUGCUUGCACAGGCCUAAUUAUAGACUGUAUUCCCGUGAGAAUUCUUACUUCGGCAAGUUUGGUUAAAAUUUCUGGCGAUGAAAACAAGAUUGAUGAUAACUUGCAGAUUGAAGUGUACCUUAAUAAUACAGAACAAGUCACGGGGACAUUGAGACAUUAUGAUCUAUGCUAUAAUGUUGCGGUUGUAGAGAUCAUGGGUUCCUGCGGUUCUACAGCAGUGGGAUUGAGGAGGCAUAUUUCUUUCACCCCUAAUAUCGAGGUUUUAGCUGUAGGGCGACUCAUUGAACAUCGGAAACUAAUGGCCUCAAGAGGGGUGUUAAUUGACAGAAAAGGCAAACUUGCUUGUGAAGAGCUUAGGAUUUCCACUUGUAAAAUCACCAAGGCCGGAAUUGGAGGGCCUCUUAUUGAUGCUCGAGGGAAUUUUGUUGGUAUGAAUUUCUUCCAUGAUGAAGAAACCCCGUACCUACCGAGGGAAAAAAUUCAGGAAGUCAUGAGACGUUUCAAUGAAGAACGCGCGAAUGACAGUUGGCCUGAACCAAGACAUCGUUAUUUUAUACCAACUUGGUACCCUAUACCGUUUGGUUUGUUCCCAGAAAGCGACGUGUACGUUGAUAGUUUAGAUGAUGUAUAUUCAAAGUUUGCUUGGCAUUAG